rnacentral:rRNA from 1 species
AUUUAAAGAGUGCGUAAUAGCUCACUGGUCGAGUGGAGUUGCGCGGAAAAUUACCGGGGCUAAACUAUACACCGAAAUUGCGGAUUCAUGAGUAAUCAUGAGUGGUAGAGGAGCAUUCUAUAGUAGGACGAAGGUAGAUCGAAAGGACUGCUGGACGAGAUAGAAGAGAGAAUGCCGGAAUAAGUAGCGAAAGCAUGGUGAGAAUCCAUGCCAUCGAAAGUCUAAGGUUUCCUGGGGAAGGUUCGUCCGCCCAGGGUAAGUCGGGACCUAAGGAGAGGCCGAAAGGCGUAUCUGAUGGACAGCAGGUAGAAAUUCCUGCACCACCGAUAUACUUAAAAAAUGCAAGGGACACAGUAGUGGAAGGAAAGCGAGGAAGAGGAAAGACUCGUAUCGAAAGAUAUAGUGAAAAAAUAAGUAACGAAUUUCCAAGAAGCACACUGGCGAGAAAAGCUUGUAGGAAUUGUAUAAAGGUGCCCGUACCGCAAACCGACACAGGUAGAUAGGAAGAGGAUCCUAAGACGAGCGAGAGAAGCAUUGUUAAGGAACUCGGCAAAUUGACCCCGUAACUUAGGGAGAAGGGGUGCCAAAGUAAAAUUUGGUCGCAGAGAAGAGGCCCAAGCAACUGUUUAACAAAAACACAGGUUUCUGCUAAAUCGAAAGAUGAAGUAUAGGAGCUGACGCCUGCCCAGUGCUGGAAGGUUAAGGGGAAGAGUUAGAUGUAAGUCGAAGCUUAGAACCAAAGCCCCAGUGAACGGCGGCCGUAACUAUAACGGUCCUAAGGUAGCGAAAUUCCUUGUCAGGUAAGUUCUGACCCGCACGAAAGGCGUAAUGAUUUGGGCGCUGUCUCGACAAUGUACUCGGCGAAAUUGUAGUACUAGUGAAGAUGCUAGUUACCUGCGACAAGACAGAAAGACCCCAUGGAGCUUUACUGUAGCCUGAUACUGGGUUUCGAUAAUUUAUGUACAGGAUAGGUGGGAGGCGAAGAAGCAAUUGCGCCAGCAGUUGUGGAGUCAUCCUUGGGAUACCACCCUUAAGUUAUUGAAAUUCUAACCUGUAGUCCUGAGCGGGCUAGGGGACAAUGUCAGGCGGGCAGUUUGACUGGGGCGGUCGCCUC